AGAGUUUGAUCCUGGCUCAGAAUCAACGCUGGCGGCGUGCCUAACACAUGCAAGUCGAACGGGGUAGCAAUACCCAGUGGCAGACGGGUGAGUAACACGUGGUCAACCUACCUUUAAGUGGGGGAUAACUAGCCGAAAGGUUAGCUAAUACCGCAUACGAUCUUCGAGUGGCAUCACAUGAAGAUGAAAGGAGCAAUCCG
rnacentral:rRNA from 1 species